rnacentral:misc_RNA from 1 species
UCCUGGUUAACCCAGGCAGUCUCACUAGAGUUCCCGCCAUUACGCGUUGGCAACUAAUGAUAAGGGUUGCGCUCGUUGCUGGACUUAACCAAACACCUCACGGCACGAGCUGACGACAGCCAUGCAGCACCUGUAUAAUGGCUCCGAAGAGAGAUCGCAUUUCUGCGACUGUCCAAAAUAUGUCAAGUCUGGGUAAGGUUCUUCGCGUUGCAUCGAAUUAAACCACAUACUCCACUGCUUGUGCGGGUCCCCGUCAAUUCUUUUGAGUUUCACCCUUGCGAGCGUACUCCCCAGGCGGUAUACUUAUCGCGUUAGCUACGGCACAACUAGGGUUGAAUCCAGUUACACCAAGUAUACAUAGUUUACAGUAAGGACUAC